GUCCGGCCAACUCUGCAGCUCGGUCCAGCCCUGCCCUUGGGGAGCCGGGGAGGGGCGGGAGAGGCUUUUCUGGAGCUCCUUCAAAGAAGAACUUGUACUUUUCUGAGAACGACGCUCCCAGACCUUGGGGUGUGCCCUUGUCUGGCAAAGGGCGGAGGCCCUGGCUGUGCCUCCGCGUGCUUCCGCCGCAGGAUGCCGGCGUCCGCCCGCCUGGCGGGAGCGGGGCUGCUGCUGGCCUUUCUCCGCGCGCUCGGCUGCGCUGGGCGGGCCCCAGGCUGAGGGUAAAAAGCUGGGAUUGGUAGGCUGGGUCCAGAACACUGACCGGGGCACAGUGCAAGGACAAUUGCAAGGUCCCAUCUCCAAGGUGCGUCAUAUGCAGGAAUGGCUUGAAACAAGAGGAAGUCCUAAAUCACACAUCGACAAAGCAAACUUCAACAAUGAAAAAGUCAUCUUGAAGUUGGAUUACUCAGACUUCCAAAUUGUAAAAUAAUGGCCUGAAUUUAAGUUUUCUAAGAUAAACUCAGUGGUUUGGUUUUUAUUAUUAAUAGAGAUAGAACUAUUGUGUGUUAAUAUUAGCAUUAGUCAAUAAGUUAUUUUAAUGUCAGAUUUUUGAAUGUUAUUAUAUAUUACCUGUAUGAUGGAAGGAUUACCACUGUACACAAAUCUAAUCAAUAAAAACGUUAGAACCUUCUGCUUAGAGUACUUUUAA
rnacentral:lncRNA from 1 species